ACAACUUUCAACAACGGAUCUCUUGGCUCUCGCAUCGAUGAAGAACGCAGCGAAAUGCGAUACGUAAUGUGAAUUGCAGAAUUCAGUGAAUCAUCGAAUCUUUGAACGCACAUUGCGCUCUCUGGUAUUCCGGAGAGCAUGCUUGUUUGAGUAUCAGUAA
rnacentral:rRNA from 1 species